GUAGGGAUGAGGGGAUGGAGAUGGUGGUGGUGGGGAGACGUAAUGAUAAGGUGGUGGUGGAGAUUUCUCCGGCGGUGGUGGGGAGAUGUACUGAUAAGGUGGUGGUGGGGAUUUCUCCGGAGGUGGUGGGGAGAUGUAGUGAUAAGGUGGUGGUGGGGAUUUUUCCGGUGGUGGUGGGGAGAUGUACUGAUAAGGUGGUGGUGGAGAUUUUUCCGGUGGUGGUGGGGAGAUGUACUGAUAAGGUGGUGGUGGAGAUUUUUCCGGUGGUGGUGGGGAGACGUAAUAAUACGGCUUUGGUGGAGGUUUCACCGGUGGUGGCGGUGACUUGUAUAGGUAAGUUGGUGGUGGAGGUGGUGGUGAUUUAUAGACAUAAGUUGGUGGUGGUGGGGAGACGUAAUAAUACGGCUUUGGUGGAGGUUUCACUGGUGGUGGCGGUGACUUGUAUAGGUAAGUUGGUGGUGGAGGUGGUGGUGAUUUAUAGACAUAAGUUGGUGGUGGUGGGGAGACGUAAUAAUACGGCUUUGGCGGAGGUUUCACCGGUGGUGGCGGUGACUUGUAUAGGUAAGUUGGUGGUGGAGGUGGUGGUGAUUUAUAGACAUAAGUUGGUGGUGGUGGGGAGACGUAAUAAUACGGCUUUGGUGGAGGUUUCACCGGUGGUGGCGGUGACUUGUAUAGGUAAGUUGGUGGUGGAGGUGGUGGUGAUUUAUAGACAUAAGUUGGUGGCGGAG
rnacentral:lncRNA from 1 species